ACGGGAGGCAGCAGUGAGGAAUAUUGGUCAAUGGACGGAAGUCUGAACCAGCCAUGCCGCGUGCAGGAAUAAGGCCCUAUGGGUCGUAAACUGCUUUUGUAGUGGAGCAAUAAGGUCUACGUGUAGAUCGAUGAGAGUACAUUACGAAUAAGCGUCGGCUAACUCCGUGCCAGCAGCCGCGGUAACACGGAGGAUGCAAGCGUUAUCCGGAUUUAUUGGGUUUAAAGGGUGCAUAGGCUGUUUGUCAAGUCAGGGGUGAAAUCCCGGGGACUAACUCCGGAAUUGCCUUUGAUACUGGCAGGCUUGAAUACUGUUGCCGUGGGAGGAAUGAGUAGUGUAGCGGUGAAAUGCAUAGAUAUUACUCAGAACACCGAUUGCGAAGGCAUCUCACGAAACAGCGAUUGACGCUGAGGAACGAAAGCGUGGGGAUCAAACAGGAUUAGAUACCCUGGUA
rnacentral:rRNA from 1 species